UGGAAGCUGGCAUCGCCCAAAGUACACUGACAAACUCUCACGAGCUGUCAUGUCCUAAGGCAAUGGUGGUAACUGGGAUG
rnacentral:rRNA from 1 species